CUGGGAUAUGGUGACAUGUACCCCAAGACCUGGUCAGGCAUGGUGGUGGGGGCACUGUGCGCGCUCGCUGGGGUGCUCACUAUUGCCAUGCCAGUGCCCGUCAUCGUUAAUAAC
rfam:Alligator mississippiensis ScZkoYb_366, whole genome shotgun sequence.